AACGAACGCUGGCGGCAUGCCUAACACAUGCAAGUCGAACGAGACCUUCGGGUCUAGUGGCGCACGGGUGCGUAACGCGUGGGAACCUGCCCUUAGGUUCGGAAUAACUCCCCGAAAGGGGUGCUAAUACCGGAUAAUGUCUUCGGACCAAAGAUUUAUCGCCUUUGGAUGGGCCCGCGUUGGAUUAGCUAGUUGGUAGGGUAAAAGCCUACCAAGGCGACGAUCCAUAGCUGGUCUGAGAGGAUGAUCAGCCACACUGGGACUGAGACACGGCCCAGACUCCUACGGGAGGCAGCAGUGGGGAAUAUUGGACAAUGAGCGAAGGCCUGAUCCAGCAAUGCCGCGUGAGUGAUGAAGGCCUUAGGGUUGUAAAGCUCUUUUACCCGGGAUGAUAAUGACAGUACCGGGAGAAUAAGCACCGGCUAACUCCGUG
rnacentral:rRNA from 1 species